UUUUUUUUUUUUGGUCUUUCUGUCUUUUCUAGGGCCACACUUGUGGCAUAUGGAGAAAUGGCAGAAAAGACAAAAAUAAAAAUAAAUAAAUAAAUAAAGUGUACAAUUCAAUGGCAUAUAGUACAUUCACAAUGUUUUGCAACCAAAAUUACUUCUAUCUAGUUCCAAAAUAUUUUUAUAACCCCAAAUGAAAACCAUACCCAUUAAGCAGUCAGUCUCCAAGCCCCAUACCCCGGCAACCACUAAACUGAUUUAUGUCUCCAUGGAUUUACCUGUCCUGGAUGUUUCAUAUCAACAGACUGACAUAUGUGAUACUGUGUCCAGCUUUAUUCACUAAGCAUAAUAUUUGAGGUUUAUGCACUUUGAAGCACUUAUCAGUACUUCAUUUUUUUUGGCCACACCUUCGCCAUGCAAAAGUUCACACCUGCGCCAUGCAAAAGGUGCCAGGCCAGGAAUCAAACCCAAACUACAGCAGUGACGAUGACAGAUUAUUAACUGCUAGGCCACCAGAGAGCUCCAGUACUUCAUUUCUAUGACUGAAUGAAAUUUCAUUAUACUCAUAUUUUUGGUUAUCCAUUCAUCAGUUGAUUACAAUUGGGCUGUUUCUUCAUUUUUGAUAACGUAAAUUGCUAUGUAAGUACUACUAUGAACAUUCAUGUACAAGUGUCUGUUUUCAGUUCUUUUGGGUACAUAUACAGGAAUGUAAUAUCUGGGUCCUAUCGUGAUUUUAGGUUUAAUUGCUUGAGGUCACUGUUUUCCAUAGUAGCUGUACCCUUCUAAACUCCUACCAACAACAUACAAAUAUCCCAAUUUCUCCACAUCCUCGCCAACACUUGUUAUUUCUGUUUUCUGACUCAUUUCCAAAUGUCACACCCGGAACGCAACACAAUACCCUAGGUAUAGUCUGGAUGGUACAGAAUAUGUUAAUAAAGCUAACACUUUGCCUCUUCCAAACCUUCUCCCCCCAGUCAUCCAGCUGAUGAUUCUAUGAAGCCUUUCCUGAAGGCACAUUACAUUUUCUAUCCAUACGGAGUUCAUUACAAUAAUUAAAAUACCUAACUUGUUCGUAUUCAACCACAUCUCCCUCAUCCCUAAGACUAUGCAGCUGUUUUCUGAACCCCUUUCCUCAACCCCUUUACAGGGCUUCACAUCAAGCUCCAUUGAGUUAUUACAUUAGCCUUGGCCUACCAUGUCAGUCAGAAAUGUUUUCAAAAAUUAACCCCCAAAUUUCAUCCCAUCGAAAAACUUGACAAGCGUGGUGUCAGUGUUUUCAUUCACAUCAGGACAAAAAGAUGGACAAUGACUUUCAGCCUAUCACUGGAAAUGUUUCUCCAGUUUGUCAAUUCAUUACUCAUUAUCAGAGAUGCUACUCAACCAAUCAUCUAACUUCAUGGUCAUCCAGCCCACAGCUCUCCCUUGUCAACACAGAGAAAUGUUAUAAAGCAUCUGGCUGAAAUCCAGUUAUGCUGUACAUUCUGCAUUCUGUCAACCCACAGCCUAACAAUCUUAUCUAAGAAGAAGUAGGGUUACUCUAACAUAAUUAUCUUGAGCGAGCCCAUAUCCUUCCUUUAAAAAUGCAAUCAUGGUCAAUGUUUUUAGGUCUCAUUAACACAAUAAGCUCAGAUUAGAUCAUGUUGGGUUUCCACUUUUUGAAAUUUAAACAUUAAAAUAUAAUACAAUGAAAUAGCAAUAGGUAUCACUCAAGGCAACACAGGGAAGAUGUCUCAUAUGCUCUACGUCACAUUAUCAAGACAAAUGUGUCAUCAAUUUACUGUGAUUUACAAGUUUUUAAAAUCUACAAUCUCUCUUCAACCAUAAAAAAAGUUCAAUAAGGAAAAAAAAUAGGAAUUCCUGUCGUGGCUCAGUGGUUAACAAAUCCGACUAGGAACCAUGAGGUUGUGGGUUUGAUCCCUGGCCUCACUCAGUGGGUUAAGGAUCUGGCGUUGCCGUGAGCUGUGGUGUAGGUUGCAGACGUGGCUCAGAUCCCUCGUUGCUGUGGCUGUGGCACAGGCCAGUGGCUCCAACUCCGAUUAGACCCCUAGCCUGGGAAUCUCCAUAUGCCGCAGGAGCAGCCCUAGAAAAGACCAAAAAAAAAAAAAUUUUCUCCCAUGUGUUCACAAAAAAAUAAUUAAACUAAUAAACUGUAAGCUUUGUUUCUAACAACGUAAGAUUAUUUUACUGAAACCAAUUUCCCCCAUUCUUUAAGAGCAUCAAAGUUCUCUUUUACAAAGCCUUAUUCAGAGGCAAUUCCAAUCUAAAAUACCCACUACUACCUCUACCACUCACUUUGCCACUUAAUCAUCUGAUGCUUGAUAGUUACUGUUGUUAACUGUUUCAUACUUAUUACCUAUAAUCAGACCACGCUUCAUUCUUUUCUUAACUUCAUCGCAACCAACACAGAAAAGGUAAUGGGAGUUUCCGUCGUGGCUCAGCGGAAACGAAUCUGACUAGGAACCAUCAGGCUGCAGGUUUGAUCCCUGGCCUCAAUCAGUGGGUUAAGGCAUUGCCCUGAGCUGUGGUGUAGGUCGCAGAUGCAGCUCAGAUCUGGCAUUGCUGUGGCUCUGGCAUAGCCCAGCAGCUGUAGCUCCAAUUAGACCCCUAGCCUGGGAACCUCCAUAUGCCAAGAGUGUGGCCCUUAAAAGGGCAAAAGACAAAAAAAAAAAAAACAUAGAAAAGGUAAGCACUCAAGUUCUUUUAUUUUGCAUGUAUUAUAAACCUCUAAAGAAAUAAACUGGGAGUUCCCGUGGUGGCUUAGUGGAAAUGAAUCUGACUAGCAUCUAUGAAGACACAGGUUCAAUUCCUGGCCUCACUCAGUGGGUUGAAGAUCAGGCGUUGCCGUGAGCUAAGGUGUAGGUUGCAGACCCAGCUCCCAUCUGGCGUUUCUAUGGCUGUGGUGUAGGUUGGCAGCCACAGCUGCAAUUGGAACCCUAGCCUGGGAACCUCCAUGUGCCAUGAAUGUGGCCCUAAAAACACGAAAAAAGGAAGAAAAAAAAAAAAGGCCAAAAAGAACUAAAGUGAAAUUGCCUGAUAAAUCUGAAGACAUCUGAGGAUCCUCUGGCUCCUCCCUUUCCGAAAAGGGAAAAUUAGGUACAGAAAAAAAGGCGUUGGAGGAAACAGGUAAAAUUCAGCGAGUAAAGAGAGAAAGAAUGUUUACUUAACUCUUAAAAAAUGUAUUAAGUAAGCAUGGUAACAGUUUCCUAUUAUUGUUGCAGUGACAAAUUACCACAACCUUAGUAGCCAUGAAUUUAUUACCUUAGAGUUCUAGAAGUCAGAAGCCCAAAACAGGUCUCCCAGGGCUAAAAUCAAAGUGUCAGCGGAGCUGCAUUCCUUUCUCUUUUUUUUUUGGCAUUCCUUUCUGGAAGCUCUAAGGAGACCCCAUGUUCCUGCUUUGUGGGUUUAGAGAGGCUGCUCACGGCCCAGGGCUCACAGUUCCCCUUCUAUGCUCCAAGGCAGCAGCGGCUGGUCAAGUCCUUCUCACGUCAUCAUCUCUCUGGUUCAGACCUGUUUGCCUCUUGCUGCUUCUUUUAAAGACUUUUGCGAUUGCAUUAGGUCCACCUGAUAAGCUAAGCCGUUUUCCCAUCAUGAAGUCAGCUGACUAGCAAUCUUAGUUCCCCUGAAACCUAACUUCCCGUUUACCCUGUAACACAACAUUCAUGGGUUCCAGGGAGUAAGAUAUGGACAUGUUGGGGGGCAGGGGGAUGUUUACUCUGCCUGCCACAAGCACGAUGUCAUGUGUUUCAUUUAUGUCUUUUUACUGAUUCCUUACAGCAACUCUUUUAUUCCUUUUAGACACGAGGAAUCUUGAGGCUACCCAUGGCACUUCUAGAGACUUUAAAUAACCUAAACCUGGGAGUUCCUGUCGUGGCACAGCAAAAAUGAAUCCGACUAGGUACCAUGAGGUUUCGGGUUCGAUCCCUAGCCUCGCUCAGUGGGUUGAGGAUCCGGCAUUGAUGGGAGCUGUGGUGUAGGUCACAGAGGCGGCUUUGAUCUGAUGUGGCUGCGGCUGUGGCAUAGAGUGGCAGCUGUAGCUCCGAUUGGACCCCUGGCCUGGGACCCUCCAUAUGCCACGAGUGCAGCCCUAAAAAGCAAAAAAAUAAAUAAACAAAUAGCCUAACUCAAACUGCUGGACUUAUAGGAGAUAUUUUCAUAAGUGUUUGUGGAACUAAACCAGUAAAACCAGGAUUCACAUAGCAGAGCCUCCACUGGCCAGUCUCUAAAGCCAUCACUACUCUCUUUGUGUGUGUGUAUGUGUCUUUGGAGGUGAAGAGAAAUGUACAAAAAGUAAGGCUUUUCUUGCCUCCUACAUUGACCCAAACGAUCUCCCUUUUCACCACUUUAUAUUAGAGAUCUCUGUGCAUGAUUUUGGGUAGCGAAAAAGUUUUUAAAUCUCUACAAACCAUGCUGCAUUCCAUUUAGGCUUUGGUGUAUGAGAAGAGGCUGUAAGUUAAGAAAUAAGGCUAAAACUAUGUGAAAAAGUGGCAUAUCAGAUGUGAAAAUCCAACAUUUAUGUAUCUCGGAAUCACAUCUUAUCUAUUUUAAAUAAAUUACAAAGUUUAAAAUUGUAGAUUUCUUCUAAAAUUGUACAAUUUUAGGUUCCAGAUUUGAACAUAUAAUUUUUAUAACUAUUUCAGGCAUUCAGAGAAAGACCCCAAGGUGUAUUAGAUUAGAGAUUAUCAACAGUCUAAUAGGUCUUGACACAUAUAACACAUUAUUUUUCAAGAGACGAUAUGGGAACACACCCUCUUUAUAAAACACACACACACACACACACAAAGAUUGGAAUUCUCUUAUGGUGUAUUGAGUUAAGGAACUGGCACUGUCACUGCAGUGGCUCAGGCGAUGCUGUGGCACAGGUUCGAUCUGUGGUCCAGGAACGUCCACAGGCCACAGGCAAGGCCAAAACAAAUGAAUAAAAAAGCAGUUAUUGGGAUGAUAUAAUUGACUUCCAGGUGUCCCUUCUCAUCUAAUAAUGAACUUGUGAUGCUCACUGGCCCUUCCUCAAACACUUGGGUAACAACAAUUUUCUUUUUUUUUUUCCUGUCCCCGGAUAAGGUUACAGAUACAAGAUGGAGCGGGGGNGGGGGGGUCGGGGGGGGGUCUGUGAUUGGCAGCAGAAGCCUUGGUGUUAAGGGCUGGCAAAUGUCUUGACUGAACUUACACAUCUAGAGCAGCCAUUUCUGUUGGUUUGUUUUUUUUGUUUGUUUGUUUUUGUCUUUUUAGGACCGCACCCACAGCAUAUGGAGGUUCCCAGGUUAGGGGUCUAAUUGGAGCUGUAGCUGCCUGCCUACACCACAGCAACAUCAGAUCCGAGCCACGUCUGUGACCUACACCACAGCUAAUGGCAACACUGGAGCCUUAACCCACUGAGCAAGGCCAGGAAUCGAACCCGCACCCUUGUGGUUCCUAGUCAGAUCCAUUAACCACUGAGCCAUGAUGGGAAUGGCCUAGCACAGCCGUUUUUAAUCUUUCCUGGGCCAUGGCCUCUGUUUGGGGAAUCUGAUGAACCUCUGGACCUCUCACUAGAAAAAUGCACAUGAAGGCAUACUCAAAAUUUUUCAUCCAACUUGUUUUAUUACAUUUGAAAUUGAUGGCCAUUACAGACCAUAUAAAACCAGUCUUUGCAAAGAUAUCCACAUGUCUGAUUUUUGGGUUUGUGCAGGAAUAAAAUUCAAAGUAUGCAAUAAACACACUAGAUGCCAAAUAGAUAUUUUUCACAAAUAGAUACCAAAGCAGCGAUGGUUGUCGGCUGUAGUGUCUCUGGUAUCAAAGGACGGUUCUAGGAAGAAAUCCACCUCUUUUCAGUUUUCUUCAGAGAGAGCUCGUGUCCCGACAGCAAGAGAAGAAUACUAUUGACUGAAUUCAUUGUUCCCCAAGACAGUAACAUUUCAUACUUGUAUAUAUUUAUAAAAAAGGAGAGACAGGAAGUUCCCUUGUGGCACAGCGGGUUAAGGAUCCGGUAUUGCUGCCGCUGUGGGGCAUGUUGCAACCAUGGCACACGUUCGAUUCCUGGCCCAGGAACUACCACAUGCCACAGGUGCAGCCAAAAAAAGGGAAAGAUAAAGUUUCAGAAAUUCGGAGAUAUUAAGAUAAACUUAAAUAUUUGGGGGAAAAAAGCAUACCAGACCUACUGUGUUCUUACCAUUUAAGUCAUACAAAAUAUAUUAAGUUCAAAGUGGAAUAAAUGCACCCCUCAAAGAAGGGGUCUCAAGCCAACAAGAUAUGAAAAUACCAGUAGAUUAUACAUGUGUGUUAUCAUAAAUUUGAAAUUGAGCUUUACUAAUACUGGAUGUGUGAGACUGACACCAGCACCCUCUCUUAGUUCUGUGUUGGGCUGUUUCCAUCUUGUGGCUUUUAUGUGAACUAUGCUGGAUAUCACAGAUCUGCUCACCUGACCUCCCAUCUACCUACAGGCAAUUAAAAAGGAGCCUUUUUAGUUAUCUGGGGGCCAAGCACAGUUGUGGAAACAUGAAAUCCCUCUACGGCAUCAUUCCAGUGUCCAUCCCCCACCCUGAACCCCCAGCUUCUGGGUGAUGCGAAACAGGGUGGGAUCAGCAGCAGCAGCAGCAGCAGCAGCAGCAGCAGCAGAGGUGUCUUGAUAGACUUCCUAAUCCUGGAUUGCAGCUUGGGGGUUUGUCCUGCAGUUUGGAGAGUGUCUGGAGGCAAAUGCAGCAGUGAGGGGCAGAGGUGACAUAAGCCUGGAUUCCAGCAUAGCUCCUGGAGUGCCCUGUGGGUUGUCCUGGGGGGUUACUCCUGGACUGCCACCCUAAAACCUGCUCUGAGCACCUUCUCACAAUUCUGUAAGCACCUAAUACAUGUGAAAUCUCUUCUAGCUUAAAAUAUUAAAAAGGUUUCUAUUUGUGACACUGACAACACACCCAGUAGUGCAGUAGGUAAAAUUCUCCCUAAGGGAAAAGCAAGAGUUUCGUACCCUGGAGGGGUUGUUUGCGAUGUCCUCACCCAUCCACUUUCGGCAGAUCACAACACGUUGUGGCAGCCCGCGUGUGCCCAAGAAAUCAGAUCUGCAGAUCUCAUUAGAAUUAUGAUCUCAUGAAUGGAUUUUUAAGAUUUUUGCAAAGAAAUGCAGGUUAAACAUAAUAUUCAUAAAGCAAAAUACAAGCAAGCCACAAGAAACGUGAUUAUCUGGUAAAAUAUAAACUAUUAAACUUUUAAAAGAAAACAUAGGGAAAAAGUCUUUCAGACCUAGGACUGGGUGAAGAGUCCAUAGACAUGACAUCAAAAGCACAAUCAUAAAAGAAAAAACAGUGACUGGAGUUCCUGUCGCGGCGCAGCAGAAACGAAUCCGACUAGGAACCAUGAGGUUGCGGGUUCCACCCCUGGCCUCGCUCAGUGGGUUAAGGAUCUGGCACUGCCAUGAGCUGUGGAGUAGGUCACAGAUGCGGCUUAGAUCCCAAGUUGCUGUGGCUCUGGCGCAGGCUGGUGGCUACAGCUCUGAUUGAACCCCUAGCCUGGAAACCUCCAUGUGCCGUGGGUGCAGCCCUAAAAAGACCAAAAAAAUAAAAAGAAUAAAAAAAUUUAAAAAAAGAAAAGAAAAAACAAUGAUUAAAGGCACUACAUGAAAAUUUUAAACUGUCUUGCUCUGUAAAAGACCCUUCUAAGAGGGAGUUCCCGUCAUGGCGCAGUGGUUAACUAAUCUGACUAGGGACCAUGAGGUUGCAGGUUCGAUCCCUGGCUUGCUCAGUGGGUUAAGGAUCCAGCGUUGCCGUGAGCUGUGGUAUGGGUCGCAGACUUGGCUAGGAUCCUAUGUUGCUGUGACUCUGGUGUAGGCCAGUGGCCACAGCUCUGAUUCGACGCCUAGCCUGGGAACCUCCAUAUGCCUCGGGAGCGGCUCAAGAAAAGGCAAAAAGACAAAAACAAAAAACAAAAACAAACAAAAAAACAGCUUCUAAAAGGAUGAAGAGACAAGCUGUGGAUGGGAAGAUUUUGUGCCAACCACAUAUCUAACAAAAGAUAUAUCUAAAAUGUAUAAAGAACUCUCAAAACUCGGCAAUGAAAAAUAAACAAUCCACUGCUCAUUAGGGAAACAAUUCAUUGGUCCACUAGGGAAUUAUAAUGCAUUAUCACUAUGCAACUAUCAGAAUGACUAAAAUUUUAAAAAAUUAGUGAAAAACAACCAUGUUCUGACAAGCAUUUGGAGAAGCUGGAUCUUUCAUACAUUGCUGUUGGGAAUAUACAGCUACUCUGGAAUAUAGUCUGGCACUUUCUUGUACUAAACAUGCAUUUACAAUAUGACCCAGUAAUUGCACUCUUGGGCUUUUAUACCAGAGAAAUGAAAACUUAUGUUCACACAAAAACCCAUACACAUAUAGUUUUAUGUGCACAUCAGCUUUACACUUAACAGCUCAAAACUGGAAAUAACACCUAUGCUCUCCACUAGGUGAAUAAACUCUACUGUGAUAUAUCAAUAGACCAGACACCACUCAGCAAUAAAAAGAAAGAAACUACUGAUCCAUACAACAACCUGGAUGGUUCUCAGGGCACUGGGCUGGGUGAAAAAGGUGAUCUCAAAAGGUGACAUACAGUAUGAUUCCAUUUACGUAACAUUCUCCGAGUUCCUGUCGUGGCGCAGCAGAAACGAAUCUGAUUAGUAACCAUGAGGUUGAGGGUUCGAUCCCUGGCCUCACUCAGUGGGUUAAGGAUCCAGCGUUGCUGUGAACUGUGGUGUAGGUCGUAGAUGCGGCUCGGAUCCCGAGUUGCUGUGGCUAUGGUGUAGGCCGGCAGCUGUAGCUCUGAUUCAACCCCUAGCCUGGGAACCUCCAUAUGCUGCAUG
rnacentral:lncRNA from 1 species